UGAGGAAUAUUGGUCAAUGGACGAGAGUCUGAACCAGCCAAGUAGCGUGAAGGAUGACUGCCCUAUGGGUUGUAAACUUCUCUUAUAUGGGAAUAAAAUGUUCCACGUGUGGGAUUUUGUAUGUACCAUAUGAAUAAGGAUCGGCUAACUCCGUGCCAGCAGCCGCGGUAAUACGGAGGAUCCGAGCGUUAUCCGGAUUUAUUGGGUUUAAAGGGAGCGUAGGUGGAUUGUUAAGUCAGUUGUGAAAGUUUGCGGCUCAACCGUAAAAUUGCAGUUGAAACUGGCAGUCUUGAGUACAGUAGAGGUGGGCGGAAUUCGUGGUGUAGCGGUGAAAUGCUUAGAUAUCACGAAGAACUCCGAUUGCGAAGGCAGCUCACUGGACUGCAACUGACACUGAGGCUCGAAAGUGUGGGUAUCAAACAGG
rnacentral:rRNA from 1 species